AGAGUUUGAUCCUGGCUCAGGACGAACGCUGGCGGCGCGCCUAACACAUGCAAGUCGAGCGGGAACCUCGGGUGGGGUAACCCACCUGAGGGGAGAGCGGCGAACGGGUGAGUAACACGUGGGCAACCUGCCCCAGACACUGGGAUAACUCCGGGAAACCGGGGCUAAUACCGGAUACUCCGGCCGGAUCGCAUGGUCCGGUCGGGAAAGCCCCGACGGACUGGGAUGGGCCCGCGGCCUAUCAGCUUGUUGGUGGGGUAACGGCCCACCGAGGCGACGACGGGUAGCUGGUCUGAGAGGACGGCCAGCCACACUGGGACUGAGACACGGCCCAGACUCCUACGGGAGGCAGCAGUGGGGGAUCUUGCGCAAUGGGCGAAAGCCUGACGCAGCGACGCCGCGUGGGGGAUGAAGGCCCUCGGGUUGUAAACCCCUUUCGGCAGGGACGAAGCGGAAGUGACGGUACCUGCAGAAGAAGCUCCGGCUAACUACGUGCCAGCAGCCGCGGUAAGACGUAGGGAGCGAGCGUUGUCCGGAUUCAUUGGGCGUAAAGCGCGCGUAGGCGGCCACGCAAGUCGGUUGUGAAAUCCCGGGGCUCAACCCCGGGACUGCGUCCGAUACUGCAUGGCUCGAGGCAGGUAGGGGAGAUCGGAAUUUCCUGGUGUAGCGGUGAAAUGCGCAGAUAUCAGGAGGAACACCGGUGGCGAAGGCGGAUCUCUGGGCCUGUCCUGACGCUGAGGCGCGAAAGCUAGGGGAGCGAACAGGAUUAGAUACCCUGGUAGUCCACGCCGUAAACGUUG
rnacentral:rRNA from 1 species